rnacentral:rRNA from 1 species
AGCAGCCGCGGUAAUUCCAGCUCCAAUAGCGUAUAUUAAAGUUGUUGCAGUUAAAAGCUCGUAGUUGAAUUUCGGGGUCAGUAGGUUGGUCGUGCCACCGGUACGUACUGGUCUCACUGAUUCCUCCUUCCUGAAGAACCGUAAUGCCAUUUAAUUUGGUGUUGCGGGGAAACAGGACUGUUACUUUGAAAAAUUAGAGUGUUUAAAGCAGGCUAACGCUUGAAUACAUUAGACAUGGAAUAAUGAAAUAGGACGAUCGAUCCUAUUUUGUUGGUUUCUAGGAUUGACGUAAUGAUUAAUAGGGAUAGUUGGGGGCAUUAGUAUUCAAUUGUCAGAGGUGAAAUUCUUGGAUUUAUUGAAGACUAACUACUGCGAAAGCAUUUGCCAAGGAUGUUUUCAUUAAUCAAGAACGAAAGUUAGGGGAUCGAAGACGAUCAGAUACCGUCGUAGUCUUAACCAUAAACUAAUGCCGACUAGGGAUCGGAUGAUGUAAUUUAUAAUGACUCAU